rnacentral:rRNA from 1 species
GAUGAACGCUGGCGGCGUGCCUAAUACAUGCAAGUCGAGCGAACGGACGAGAAGCUUGCUUCUCUGAUGUUAGCGGCGGACGGGUGAGUAACACGUGGAUAACCUACCUAUAAGACUGGGAUAACUUCGUGAAACCGGAGCUAAUACCGGAUAAUAUUUUGAACCGCAUGGUUCAAAAGUAAAAGACGGUCUUGCUGUCACUUAUAUAUGGAUCCGCGCUGCAUUAGCUAGUUGGUAAGGUAACGGCUUACCAAGGCAACGAUGCAUAGCCGACCUGAGAGGGUGAUCGGCCACACUGGAACUGAGACACGGUCCAGACUCCUACGGGAGGCAGCAGUAGGGAAUCUUCCGCAAUGGGCGAAAGCCUGACGGAGCAACGCCGCGUGAGUGAUGAAGGUCUGCGGAUCGUAAAACUCUGUUAUUAGGGAAGAACAUAUGUGUAAGUAACUGUGCACAUCUUGACGGUACCUAAUCAGAAAGCCACGGCUAACUACGU